rnacentral:rRNA from 1 species
CAUCAGUAGCCGCGGUAAUACAGAGGGUGCGAGCGUUAAUCGGAUUUACUGGGCGUAAAGCGUGCGUAGGCGGCUUCUUAAGUCGGAUGUGAAAUCCCUGAGCUUAACUUAGGAAUUGCAUUCGAUACUGGGAAGCUAGAGUAUGGGAGAGGAUGGUAGAAUUCCAGGUGUAGCGGUGAAAUGCGUAGAGAUCUGGAGGAAUACCGAUGGCGAAGGCAGCCAUCUGGCCUAAUACUGACGCUGAGGUACGAAAGCAUGGGGAGCAAACAGGAUUAGAUACCCCGGUAGUCCCUGUCUCUUAUAC